rnacentral:lncRNA from 1 species
GAGCCAUCUCUUGCCUAUCUGUCAGGUGGAGUCACUACCCCCCUUCCUUUCUGUACCCCUUCGUGUAGGGACACCCAAGAUAGAUGUAAGGCACUCCUAAGAUCAUACCUGAACCCCACGAAAGUCUGUAACUCUACAGUGUGACCUCAUUAUAAGGUAUUACCAUUGCUAUUCUGCAGGUUUUUCACUAGGGAUUUACCUGCCUUUCGUAACUUUAUUUUAAAAGCAAUCUUUUCCUGGAUGUUAAUGUACUCUCCUCUUCAUCUCCACCAAUUGGCUGAUGAGUCAAAUAUUUACAGAGAUGCUAAGUGAUACACUUACUUUCAAAAAACUGGUAUCCUGCACAAAUCAGAUGGAUACAUGCACAGUGUGUGCAGAGACUGUAUUUUUCUAAAACCACCAAACACAUAUAUAUUCCUUCUAUUUUCAAGCAUGUACUUACUCCCUUUUUAAGUACAAAAUAUACACAAAGAUAUAUCUGAGCAAAAGACAUACACCGACAUUGAUGCAGCAUACUUACUUAGCAGAUUUAAUGGGCAAGAGGAAUGAACAGAAACCCUAUCAAGCAUUCCAGCUCCUUUAGAGUCCCAAAGUGACCGCAAUACACAAUUCACGUGGUUAAAAAAAAUCAUGGAUCAAUUUCUGCCCUGUUCCUAGUAAUGAAUAUCAAUAUCUUGCCCCUUCCAGACAGACUCUCAGCAGCUUCAGAUAAUUUUAAAUGUUUUUUUUUUAAUACAUUUGCAAAGUCAGUUAUUUUGAAUCUCAUUUGAAGCAAUUAAAAAACAUCCUGACAUUUUAGGUGAUAUUUUUUCCCAAG